AUUGAACGCUGGCGGCAUGCCUUACACAUGCAAGUCGAACGGCAGCAUGAUCUAGCUUGCUAGAUUGAUGGCGAGUGGCGAACGGGUGAGUAAUACAUCGGAACGUGCCCUGUAGUGGGGGAUAACUAGUCGAAAGAUUAGCUAAUACCGCAUACGACCUGAGGGUGAAAGUGGGGGACCGCAAGGCCUCAUGCUAUAGGAGCGGCCGAUGUCUGAUUAGCUAGUUGGUGAGGUAAAGGCUCACCAAGGCGACGAUCAGUAGCUGGUCUGAGAGGACGAUCAGCCACACUGGGACUGAGACACGGCCCAGACUCCUACGGAGGCAGCAGUGGGGAAUUUUGGACAAUGGGCGAAAGCCUGAUCCAGCAAUGCCGCGUGUGUGAAGAAGGCCUUCGGGUUGUAAAGCACUUUUGUCCGGAAAGAAAUGGCUCUGGUUAAUACCUGGGGUCGAUGACGGUACCGGAAGAAUAAGGACCGGCUAACUACGUG
rnacentral:rRNA from 1 species